GGGAAGAGUGGAAACUCUAAAGGAAAAGGAAAAGAAAAAGAAAAGGAAGAUUAGGAAAUUUUAAGCUUGUGGAAGAUUUUGAAAGGUUAAGGUUAUGGAUCCAAGUAGCAGUAGAUCAUGAUCUGCAUCAACCCAGCCAGAAUUACAUCAUUAACUAUCUUGGGAUAUAUUUUGUAAAUUUUUAUAUGAAUUUGAUUUUAGAAAUAUGGCAUGUACAUAAAGUUUUAGAGAUGAAGUUGUAUAUGGUUGGUUUAGAUAUAUUUGAAGAUUUUAAUUUUGAUGUAAAUAUGGAUUAUUAGAAUAAAUUUUAUAUUGAGAUUUA